GACGAACGCUGGCGGCGUGCUUAACACAUGCAAGUCGAACGGAAAGGCCCCAGCUUGCUGGAGUACUCGAGUGGCGAACGGGUGAGUAACACGUGGGUAAUCUGCCCUGCACUCUGGGAUAAGCCUGGGAAACUGGGUCUAAUACUGGAUAUGACCUUUCUCCUUAUGGGGUUUGGUGGAAAGUUUUUCGGUGUAGGAUGAGCCCGCGGCCUAUCAGCUUGUUGGUGGGGUGAUGGCCUACCAAGGCGACGACGGGUAGCCGGCCUGAGAGGGUGAUCGGCCACAUUGGGACUGAGAUACGGCCCAGACUCCUACGGGAGGCAGCGGUGGGGAAUAUUGCACAAUGGGCGGAAGCCUGAUGCAGCGACGCCGCGUGGGGGAGGACGGCCUUCGGGUUGUAAACCUCUUUCAGCAGGGACGAAGCGUAAGUGACGGUACCUGCAGAAGAAGCACCGGCUAACUAUGUG
rnacentral:rRNA from 1 species